GAUGAACGCUGGCGGCAUGCCUAAUACAUGCAAGUCGGACGAGAGGAAGGAAAGCUUGCUUUUCUGAAUCUAGUGGCGAACGGGUGAGUAACACGUAGGUAACCUGCCCAUGUGCCCGGGAUAACUUCUGGAAACGGAUGCUAAAACCGGAUAGGUAGCAGACAAGCAUUGGACUGCUAUUAAAGUGGCUAAGGCCAUGAACAUGGAUGGACCUGCGGUGCAUUAGCUAGUUGGUGAGGUAACGGCCCACCAAGGCGACGAUGCAUAGCCGGCCUGAGAGGGCGGACGGCCACAUUGGGACUGAGACACGGCCCAAACUCCUACGGGAGGCAGCAGUAGGGAAUUUUCGUCAAUGGGGGGAACCCUGAACGAGCAAUGCCGCGUGAGUGAGGAAGGUCUUCGGAUCGUAAAGCUCUGUUGUAAGAGAAAAACGACAUUCAUAGGGAAUGAUGAGUGAGUGAUGGUAUCUUACCAGAAAGUCACGGCUAACUACGUGCCAGCAGCCGCAGUAACAC
rnacentral:rRNA from 1 species